AAUACCGAGGCUGCCUCGAUUUACUUUUCGUCGCCAAGUUCAAAUCAAUCUUGACGCGAUUGUGGAAAUCGAGUUGGUAUC